rnacentral:rRNA from 1 species
AUUGAACGCUGGCGGCAUGCCUUACACAUGCAAGUCGAACGGCAGCACGGGUGCUUGCACCUGGUGGCGAGUGGCGAACGGGUGAGUAAUAUAUCGGAACGUACCUUAUUGUGGGGGAUAACGCAGCGAAAGCUGUGCUAAUACCGCAUAAUCCCUUAGGGGGAAAGCGGGGGACCGUAAGGCCUCGCGCAAUUAGAGCGGCCGAUACCUGAUUAGCUAGUUGGUGAGGUAAAGGCUCACCAAGGCGACGAUCAGUAGCUGGUCUGAGAGGACGAUCAGCCACACUGGGACUGAGACACGGCCCAGACUCCUACGGGAGGCAGCAGUGGGGAAUUUUGGACAAUGGGGGCAACCCUGAUCCAGCAAUGCCGCGUGAGUGAAGAAGGCCUUCGGGUUGUAAAGCUCUUUUGUCAGGGAAGAAACAGCAGCUCUAACACAGUAUGCGAAUGACGGUACCUGAAGAAUAAGCACCGGCUAACUACGUGCCAGCAGCCGCCGUAA